rnacentral:lncRNA from 1 species
UUAUUUUUAUUUUACAAGAGGACCGGUUUUGCUUUCAAGAGAGGCACGGCCGUACCACACAAAAACGAAAAAAUGUGUUUUCUGUUUUUUUUUCUCCCCAAGAGACACGAUUUUUCUUCAGCGAGGGCGAGGCAUGGUAGUACCUCUCAAAAAUGAAAAAAAUAAAUGCAUUUUCUUUUCUUCUUCCGCCAGAGACAUAGUUUUUCUUCUGC